UGGUGAGUCUAGGCGGGCAAAUAGGGGUUGCCUGAGAGAGGUCCCCUCUGGACCGCAAAUCCUCUGUAUGGCGGGCCGAAAGCUGAUGUGAGGCAUAUCCAAUCUGCCAAAACGGUCUGUCACCGAGGCAGUGAAAAUCCGCACUGGAGGAUCGACGGUGGGUAACAGCUUUUCGUAGGGAAAGUAUGUUUAUCCUUUGUUAGGGAAACCGGGCUAGAUCCGGGAGAGUGUUGGCAUGAUUUGUCGGCGCCUUGAUGGAGCAGCCUAACUCUGAACGCUCGGUGCUUCCAGUAUCCCGGAUUGGAGAAUAGGUGUCAGAUACGCUGGUGGAGCGGGUGUCGAGCUUCAGGACUCACCG
rnacentral:SRP_RNA from 1 species